AGGUACAGUCAUACCACCCUGAGCAUACCCAGCCUUGUCUGAUCUUUGAAGCUAAGCAGAGUUAGGCCUGAUUAGUACAGGAAUACCUU
ensembl:rRNA 5S_rRNA 5S ribosomal RNA